rnacentral:rRNA from 1 species
AACGAACGCUGGCGGCAUGCCUAACACAUGCAAGUCGAACGAGACCUUCGGGUCUAGUGGCGCACGGGGGCGUAACGCGUGGUAACCUACCCUUAGGUUCGGUACAACUGCCCGAAAGAGAUGCUAAUACCGGAGAAUGUCUUCGGACCAAAGAGUUAUCGCCUUAGGAUGGGGCCGCGUUGGAUUAGCUAGUUGGUAGGGUAAAAGCCUACCAAGGCGACGAUCCAUAGCUGGUCUGAGAGGAUGAUCAGCCACACUGGGACUGAGACACGGCCCAGACUACUACGGGAGGCAGCAGUGGGGAAUAUUGGACAAUGGGCGAAAGCCUGCUCCAGCAAUGCCGCGUGAAUGAUGAAGGCCUUAGGGUUGUAAAGCUCUUUUACCCGGGAUGAUAAUGACAGUGCCGGGAGAAUAAGCUCCGGCUAACUCCGUG